CCUACGGGGGGCAGCAGUGGGGAAUAUUGGACAAUGGGCGAAAGCCUGAUCCAGCCAUGCCGCGUGUGUGAAGAAGGCCUUCGGGUUGUAAAGCACUUUCAGUGGGGAAGAAAGCCUUGGGGCUAAUACCCUCGAGGAAGGACAUCACCCACAGAAGAAGCACCGGCUAACUCCGUGCCAGCAGCCGCGGUAAUACGGAGGGUGCGAGCGUUAAUCGGAAUUACUGGGCGUAAAGCGCGCGUAGGCGGUCUGAUAAGCCGGUUGUGAAAGCCCCGGGCUCAACCUGGGAACGGCAUCCGGAACUGUCAGGCUAGAGGGCAGGAGAGGAAGGUAGAAUUCCCGGUGUAGCGGUGAAAUGCGUAGAGAUCGGGAGGAAUACCAGUGGCGAAGGCGGCCUUCUGGACUGACACUGACGCUGAGGUGCGAAAGCGUGGGUAGCAAACAGGAUUAGAUACCCUGGUAGUC
rnacentral:rRNA from 1 species